UGGAGAGUUUGAUCCUGGCUCAGGAUGAACGCUGGCGGCGUGCCUAAUACAUGCAAGUCGAGCGAACGGACGAGAAGCUUGCUUCUCUGAUGUUAGCGGCGGACGGGUGAGUAACACGUGGAUAACCUACCUAUAAGACUGGGAUAACUUCGGGAAACCGGAGCUAAUACCGGAUAAUAUUUUGAACCGCAUGGUUCAAAAGUAAAAGACGGUCUUGCUGUCACUUAUAGAUGGAUCCGCGCUGCAUUAGCUAGUUGGUAAGGUAACGGCUUACCAAGGCAACGAUGCAUAGCCGACCUGAGAGGGUGAUCGGCCACACUGGAACUGAGACACGGUCCAGACUCCUACGGGAGGCAGCAGUAGGGAAUCUUCCGCAAUGGGCGAAAGCCUGACGGAGCAACGCCGCGUGAGUGAUGAAGGUCUUCGGAUCGUAAAACUCUGUUAUUAGGGAAGAACAUAUGUGUAAGUAACUGUGCACAUCUUGACGGUACCUAAUCAGAAAGCCACGGCUAACUACGUGCCAGCAGCCGCGGUAAUACGUAGGUGGCAAGCGUUAUCCGGAAUUAUUGGGCGUAAAGCGCGCGUAGGCGGUUUUUUAAGUCUGAUGUGAAAGCCCACGGCUCAACCGUGGAGGGUCAUUGGAAACUGGAAAACUUGAGUGCAGAAGAGGAAAGUGGAAUUCCAUGUGUAGCGGUGAAAUGCGCAGAGAUAUGGAGGAACACCAGUGGCGAAGGCGACUUUCUGGUCUGUAACUGACGCUGAUGUGCGAAAGCGUGGGGAUCAAACAGGAUUAGAUACCCUGGUAGUCCACGCCGUAAACGAUGAGUGCUAAGUGUUAGGGGGUUUCCGCCCCUUAGUGCUGCAGCUAACGCAUUAAGCACUCCGCCUGGGGAGUACGACCGCAAGGUUGAAACUCAAAGGAAUUGACGGGGACCCGCACAAGCGGUGGAGCAUGUGGUUUAAUUCGAAGCAACGCGAAGAACCUUACCAAAUCUUGACAUCCUUUGACAACUCUAGAGAUAGAGCCUUCCCCUUCGGGGGACAAAGUGACAGGUGGUGCAUGGUUGUCGUCAGCUCGUGUCGUGAGAUGUUGGGUUAAGUCCCGCAACGAGCGCAACCCUUAAGCUUAGUUGCCAUCAUUAAGUUGGGCACUCUAAGUUGACUGCCGGUGACAAACCGGAGGAAGGUGGGGAUGACGUCAAAUCAUCAUGCCCCUUAUGAUUUGGGCUACACACGUGCUACAAUGGACAAUACAAAGGGCAGCGAAACCGCGAGGUCAAGCAAAUCCCAUAAAGUUGUUCUCAGUUCGGAUUGUAGUCUGCAACUCGACUACAUGAAGCUGGAAUCGCUAGUAAUCGUAGAUCAGCAUGCUACGGUGAAUACGUUCCCGGGUCUUGUACACACCGCCCGUCACACCACGAGAGUUUGUAACACCCGAAGCCGGUGGAGUAACCUUUUAGGAGCUAGCCGUCGAAGGUGGGACAAAUGAUUGGGGUGAAGUCGUAACAAGGUAGCCGUAUCGGAAGGUGCGGCUGGAUCACCUCCUUUCU
rnacentral:rRNA from 1 species